rnacentral:rRNA from 1 species
AACUAACAAGGAUUCCCCUAGUAGCGGCGAGCGAAGCGGGAAGAGCUCAAAUUUGUAAUCUGGCACCUUCGGUGUCCGAGUUGUAAUCUCUAGAAGUGUUUUCCGCGUUGGACCGCACACAAGUCUGUUGGAAUACAGCGGCAUAGUGGUGAUACCCCAUUACACGGUGCGGACGCCCAGCGCUUUGUGAUACACUUUCGACGAGUCGAGUUGUUUGGGAAUGCAGCUCAAAUUGGGUGGUAAAUUCCAUCUAAAGCUAAAUAUUGGCGAGAGACCGAUAGCGAACAAGUACCGUGAGGGAAAGAUGAAAAGCACUUUGGAAAGAGAGUUAAAAGUACGUGAAAUUGUUGGAAGGGAAACGCUUGAAGUCAGACUUGCUUGCCGGGGCUUGCUCGGUUUGCAGGCCAGCAUCAGUUUUCCGGGGCGGAUAAUGGCAGUUAGAAGGUAGCAGUCUCGGCUGUGUUAUAGCUUUCUGCUGGAUACGUCCUGGGGGACUGAGGAACGCAGCGUGCCGUAUGGCGAGGGCUUCGGCCCUUUCACGCUUAGGAUGCUGGUGGAAUGGCUUUAAACGACCCGUCUUGAAACACGGACCAAGGAGUCUAACAUGCUUGCGAGUAUUUGGGUGUCAAACCCGGGAUGCGUAAUGAAAGUGAAUGGAGGUGGGAAGCGCAAGCUGCACCAUCGACCGAUCUGGAUUUUCUAAGAUGGAUUUGAGUAAGAGC